rnacentral:pre_miRNA from 1 species
UGAUCUUGUCUGAAGUCAAACUUUCUUAAGUUUGACCAAAUUUAUAUAAAAGAUUAUCGAUUUUUAUGAUACCAAAUAAACGUAUUAAGAAAAUAUAUUUUAUCAUGAAUCUAAUGAUACUUAUUUGGUUUUAUAAAAAAAGUAAUUUUUUGUAUAAAUUUGGUCAAACUUAAAAAAGUUUGACUUCAGACAAAACCAA